GCCCGCUCAGAAACUCAAAGGAAGUUGACGGGGCCCGCACAAGCGGUGGAGUAUGUGGUUUAAUUCGAUGCAACGCGAAGAACCCUACCUGGUCUUGACAUCCCGGAGACCCUUAGGAAACUAGGGGGUGCUUCCAUCUGGAAGAAUCUGGAGACAGGUGCUGCAUGGCUGUCGUCAGCUCGUGUCGUGAGAUGUUGGGUUAAGUCCCGCAACGAGCGCAACCCUUGCCUUUAGUUGCCAGCAGUUCGGCUGGGCACUCUAAAGGGACUGCCGGUGUUAAACCGGAGGAAGGUGGGGAUGACGUCAAGUCCUCAUGGCCUUUAUGACCAGGGCUACACACGUACUACAAUGGCCGAUACAAAGGGCAGCGACACUGCGAGGUGAAGCCAAUCCCGUAAAAUCGGUCUCAGUCCGGAUUGGAGUCUGCAACUCGACUCCAUGAAGUUGGAAUCGCUAGUAAUCGUGGAUCAGCAUGCCACGGUGAAUACGUUCCCGGGCCUU
rnacentral:rRNA from 1 species